UACGUAGGGGCCUAGCGUUGUCCGGAAUUAUUGGGCGUAAAGAGCUCGUAGGCGGUUCGGCAAGUCGGAUGUGAAAUCUCCACGCUCAACGUGGAGGGGCCAUUCGAAACUGCCGUGACUCGAGUCCGGUAGGGGAGUGUGGAAUUCCCGGUGUAGCGGUGAAAUGCGCAGAUAUCAGGAGGAACACCGGUGGCGAAGGCGGGUCUCUGGGCCGAAACUGACGCUGAGGAGCGAAAGCGUGGGGAGCGAACAGG
rnacentral:rRNA from 1 species